rnacentral:misc_RNA from 1 species
AAGUCGUAACAAGGUUUCCGUAGGUGAACCUGCGGAAGGAUCAUUACAAGAAGAGACCCUAACCGGUCCUCUCAACCCUGCCCAUCGUACCUUUUUUGUUGUUCCCUCGGCGGUGCUCGCGGGCCCGCCGGCGGGAAGACCAAACAAACCCUUUGCAAACAAGCAUAUCGAAUCUCUGAUCAAACAUGAAUUGUCACAACUUUCAACAAUGGAUCUCUUGGUUCUGG